rnacentral:rRNA from 1 species
UACAGAGGGUGCGAGCGUUGUUCGGAAUUAUUGGGCGUAAAGGGCGCGUAGGCGGUGCGGCAAGUCACCUGUGAAAACCCAGGGCUUAACCCUGGGCUGGCAGUGGAUACGGACAGACUAGAGGUAGGUAGGGGAGAAUGGAAUUCCCGGUGUAGCGGUGAAAUGCGCAGAUAUCGGGAGGAACACCGGUGGUGUAGACGGCUUUCUGGACCGACACUGACGCUGAGACACGAAAGCGUGGGUAGCAAACAGG